rnacentral:rRNA from 1 species
UUGGAGGGCAAGUCUGGUGCCAGCAGCCGCGGUAAUUCCAGCUCCAAUAGCGUAUAUUAAAGUUGUUGCAGUUAAAAAGCUCGUAGUUGAAUUUCGGGGUCAGCAGGUUGGUCGUGCCAAUGGUAUGAACUGGCCUUGCUGAUUCCUCCCUCUUGAUGAGCCGUAAUGUCAUUAAUUUGGUGUUGCGGGGAAUCAGGACUGUUACUUUGAAAAAAUUAGAGUGUUUAAAGCAGGCAAGCGCUUGAAUACAUUAGCAUGGAAUAAUGAAAUAGGACGUUUGAUCCUAUUUUGUUGGUUUCUAGGAUCGACGUAAUGAUUAAUAGGGAUAGUUGGGGGCAUUAGUAUUCAAUUGUCAGAGGUGAAAUUCUUGGAUUUAUUGAAGACUAACUACUGCGAAAGCAUUUGCCAAGGAUGUUUUCAUUAAUCAAGAACGAAAGUUAGGGGAUCGAAGACGAUCAGAUACCGUCGUAGUCUUAACCAUAAACUAUGCCGACUAGGGAUCGGAUGAUGUUAAUUUUUUAAUGACUCAUUCGGCGCCUUACGGGAAAC